rnacentral:rRNA from 1 species
GAUGAACGCUGACAGAAUGCUUAACACAUGCAAGUCGAUUCGAUUUACCUUCGGGUAUUGAGGAUGGCGGACGGGUGAGUAACGCGUAAGGAACUUGCCUCUUGGUCUGGGACAACUGUUGGAAACGACAGCUAAUACCGGAUAUUAUGAGAUUCUCGCAUGGGAAACUUAUGAAAGCUAUAUGCGCCAAGAGAGAGCCUUGCGUUCCAUUAGCUAGUUGGUGGGGUAACGGCCCACCAAGGCGACGAUGGAUAGCCGGCCUGAGAGGGUGAACGGCCACAAGGGGACUGAGACACGGCCCUUACUCCUACGGGAGGCAGCAGUGGGGAAUAUUGGACAAUGGGCCACAAGCCUGAUCCAGCAAUUCUGUGUGCACGAUGAAGGUCUUCGGAUUGUAAAGUGCUUUCAGUUGGGAAGAAGAAANUGACGGUACCAACAGAAGAAGCGACGGCUAAAUACGUGCCAGCAGCCGCGGUAAUACGUAUGUCGCAAGCGUUAUCCGGAUUUAUUGGGCGUAAAGCGCGUCUAGGCGGAAAAAUAAGUCUGANGUUAAAAUGCGGGGCUCAACUCCGUAUUGCGUUGGAAACUGUUUUUCUAGAGUACUGGAGAGGUGGGCGGAACUACAAGUGUAGAGGUGAAAUUCNUAGAUAUUUGUAGGAAUGCCGAUGGAGAA